rnacentral:rRNA from 1 species
CCUACGGGGGGCUGCAGUAAGGAAUAUUGGUCAAUGGACGAAAGUCUGAACCAGCCAUGCCGCGUGGAGGAUGAAGGUCCUCUGGAUUGUAAACUUCUUUUAUAUGGGACGAAAAAAAGGCCUUUCUAGGCCGUCUGACGGUACCAUAUGAAUAAGCACCGGCUAACUCCGUGCCAGCAGCCGCGGUAAUACGGAGGGUGCAAGCGUUAUCCGGAUUCAGGGUGUGUAGGGGGUGUGUUAAGUCGGUGGUGAAAUCUCCGAGCUUAACUUGGAAACUGCCAUUGAUACUAUUAAUCUUGAAUAUUGUGGAGGUUAGCGGAAUAUGUCAUGUAGCGGUGAAAUGCUUAGAUAUGACAUAGAACACCAAUUGCGAAGGCAGCUGGCUACACAUAUAUUGACACUGAGGCACGAAAGCGUGGGGAUCAAACAGGAUUAGAUACCCUGGUAGUC